rnacentral:tRNA from 1 species
UGGUAGACGAUCGGCUCAUGUCUUCGGACAUGCCCCGGUAUGAACCUUCCCGUGCUUUUUAUAACAAGAUCGGAUCAGUCAGAUCACGAUCGAACGCAAUACGUCACAGAGACUUCAAGUCCUGAUGAUAUGGCGAGCCUCGCCGUCCACGUUUCUCUUUCUUCAAGAAGACAAAGAACCGCGUCGAUCCGGAUAGCUUUUGGGUUGUCUGGACCGGUUUGACGAGAAUGGGCCCGUAGCUCAGUUGGUUAGAGCACACGCUUGAUAAGCGUGGGGUCGGAAGUUCAAGUCUUCCCGGGCCCACCAUGCUUCGCCUUUUGGCUACGCAUGGCGCAGCCGGGAAAGAACGGUGACGCGGAAGUUGCCGAACCCCGAAGAAGUUUGGGGCGAUCGAGCUGAUGGGGCUGUAGCUCAGCUGGGAGAGCACCUGCUUUGCAAGCAGGGGGUCAGCGGUUCGAUCCCGCUCAGCUCCACCAAAUCGAUUGGUGUCGAGACUGACGGUAAUUGUCUUCUGAAGAAAUAAAGGUUUUGCAUCGGCCUUAGGGCUGGAUGCGUGUUCUGCAUACAUUGUGAAGAGAAGAUUGAUCUGGAGGCUUCCAGGUGUUUUGAGCGACCGUAAGGUUGUUUGAGGCGUCCGAGCCCGGACCUUAUGAUAUCGUGGAUGGCCUAGCCGGCUGGAAACGAAGGAGGGGACGGAGGUAGGAAGGAAGCUUGUCGCUCUGGAUUGUCAUUGUUGGCCUUCUUUGAAGGCUUCUGAUGGACAAUCGGAUUACCGUUGCCUGACCGCGCGGUAUCGGAUCAAAUCUCGAGAAGCUGGUCUUAAGACAGGCUGCAAGCGAGCUGCUCGGCGUAGCUCCAAUAUCUCGCGAAAGCUUAUGGCUUUUGCGUAAAAGCAAGCCUGUCGAACACGUCGAUGGCAUUGUUGAAUAGGCUGGGUUGUAAAAGGUAACCUGGUCUGUUGUCGUUUCCGCUGGAAACGAGCAACUAGAUGAUGAGCAUUGGCAAUGAGAACGAUCAAGUGUCGUAAGGGUAUUUAGUGGAUGCCUAGGCAUGCACAGGCGAUGAAGGACGUGAUACGCUGCGAAAAGCCGUGGGAGCUGCGAAUAAG